ACUCCUACGGGAGGCAGCAGUGGGGAAUAUUGCACAAUGGGCGCAAGCCUGAUGCAGCCAUGCCGCGUGUAUGAAGAAGGCCUUCGGGUUGUAAAGUACUUUUAGCGGGGAGGAAGGGGGUGAGGUUAAUAACCUUGUCAAUUGACGUUACCCGCAGAAGAAGCACCGGCUAACUCCGUGCCAGCAGCCGCGGUAAUACGGAGGGUGCAAGCGU
rnacentral:rRNA from 1 species